AGACAGAGAGAGAGACAGAGAGACAGAGAGAGAGAGAGAGACAGAGAGAGAGAGAGAGACACCAGAAGAAAAGAGACAGAUCACUUAAACCUGGUAAAGAGGGUGAUUCCAUCUCAAUAGUAUAAUGUUUAUUAUGUCUAUGUACAGGAGGUCAUAGUUCACAGAACAACCCAAUGGAAGUGGAACAACAGAAUAGAACACUUCUAUUGUGACAUCAUCGUAACAGAAUGACAGGAAGUUGAUGGAACAAUGACUAGAUAAUAAAGGGUUAAAAACAGACUGUUAAAAACUGGUAUUUAAUAUACACAAUUAGUACUCUUUAACAUGAUACACUGUAAUAAAAAUAAUAAUAAUAACAACUCAGGAUAAAUGAAUGUGUUCUCAGGAAUAUAUUACAGGAUGAUAAACUAGAUGAGAAUUCUAAAUAAAAAGGUAAAAAGCCUGGUGAUUGUUAGAAGACAAGUCAGCUUGAAACAUUGUUGAAUUGUUUUUGUAUCGAAAGAGAGAGAGAGAGAGAGGGAGGAGAGAGAGAGAGAGAGAGAGGGAGGUGAGAGAGAGAGAGAGAGAGAGAGAGAGGAGAGAGAGAGAGAGAGAGAGAGAG
ensembl:lncRNA